rnacentral:piRNA from 1 species
GCAAACAUUGACUGUGCCUUCUC